rnacentral:rRNA from 1 species
CGAGCGAACGGACGAGAAGCUUGCUUCUCUGAUGUUAGCGGCGGACGGGUGAGUAACACGUGGAUAACCUACCUAUAAGACUGGGAUAACUUCGGGAAACCGGAGCUAAUACCGGAUAAUAUUUUGAACCGCAUGGUUCAAAAGUGAAAGACGGUCUUGCUGUCACUUAUAGAUGGAUCCGCGCUGCAUUAGCUAGUUGGUAAGGUAACGGCUUACCAAGGCAACGAUGCAUAGCCGACCUGAGAGGGUGAUCGGCCACACUGGAACUGAGACACGGUCCAGACUCCUACGGGAGGCAGCAGUAGGGAAUCUUCCGCAAUGGGCGAAAGCCUGACGGAGCAACGCCGCGUGAGUGAUGAAGGUCUUCGGAUCGUAAAACUCUGUUAUUAGGGAAGAACAUAUGUGUAAGUAACUGUGCACAUCUUGACGGUACCUAAUCAGAAAGCCACGGCUAACUACGUGCCAGCAGCCGCGGUAAUACGUAGGUGGCAAGCGUUAUCCGGAAUUAUUGGGCGUAAAGCGCGCGCAGGCGGUUUUUUAAGUCUGAUGUGAAAGCCCACGGCUCAACCGUGGAGGGUCAUUGGAAACUGGAAAACUUGAGUGCAGAAGAGGAAAGUGGAAUUCCAUGUGUAGCGGUGAAAUGCGCAGAGAUAUGGAGGAACACCAGUGGCG